GUAGGUGGCAAGCGUUGUCCGGAAUUAUUGGGCGUAAAGCGCGCGCAGGCGGUUCUUUAAGUCUGAUGUGAAAGCCCACGGGCUCAACCGUGGAGGGUCAUUGGAAACUGGAGAACUUGAGUACAGAAGAGGAAAGCGGAAUUCCACGUGUAGCGGUGAAAUGCGUAGAGGUGUGGAGGAACACCAGUGGCGAAGGCGGCUUUCUGGUCUGUAACUGACGCUGAGGCGCGAAAGCGUGGGGAGCAAACAGGAUUAGAUACCCUGGUAGUCCACGCCGUAAACGAUGAGUGCUAAGUGUUAGGGGGUUUCCGCCCCCUUAGUGCUGCAGCUAACGCAUUAAGCACUCCGCCUGGGGAGUACGGCCGCAAAGGCUG
rnacentral:rRNA from 1 species